UACGUAGGGGGCAAGCGUUGUCCGGAUUUACUGGGCGUAAAGCGCGUGUAGGCGGCCACGCAGGUCCGUUGUGAAAACUGAAGGCUCAACCUUCAGACGUCGACGGAAACCGUGUGGCUAGAGUCCGGAAGAGGAGAGUGGAAUUCCUGGUGUAGCGGUGAAAUGCGCAGAUAUCAGGAAGAACACCAAUGGCGAAGGCAGCUCUCUGGGACGGUACUGACGCUGAGACGCGAAAGCGUGGGGAGCGAACAGGAUUAGAAACCCCUGUAGUCC
rnacentral:rRNA from 1 species